rnacentral:rRNA from 1 species
UACGUAGGGGGCAAGCGUUGUCCGGAAUCAUUGGGCGUAAAGCGCGCGUAGGCGGCCCGGUAAGUCCGCUGUAAAAGUCCAGGGCUCAACCCUGGAAAGCCGGUGGAUACUGUCGGGCUAGAGUCCGGAAGAGGCGAGUGGAAUUCCGGGUGUAGCGGUGGAAUGCGUAGAGAUCCGGAAGAACACCGGUGGCGAAGGCGGCCUGCUGGGCAGUUUAGCUGACACUGAGGCGCGACAGCGUGGGGAGCAAACAGG